ACGAACUCUGGUAUUGAUUGGUGCUUGCAUCAUGAUUUACAUUUGAGUGAGUGGCGAACUGGUGAGUAACACGUGGGAAACCUGCCCAGAAGCGGGGGAUAACACCUGGAAACAGAUGCUAAUACCGCAUAACAACUUGGACCGCAUGGUCCGAGCUUGAAAGAUGGCUUCGGCUAUCACUUUUGGAUGGUCCCGCGGCGUAUUAGCUAGAUGGUGGGGUAACGGCUCACCAUGGCAAUGAUACGUAGCCGACCUGAGAGGGUAAUCGGCCACAUUGGGACUGAGACACGGCCCAAACUCCUACGGGAGGCAGCAGUAGGGAAUCUUCCACAAUGGACGAAAGUCUGAUGGAGCAACGCCGCGUGAGUGAAGAAGGGUUUCGGCUCGUAAAACUCUGUUGUUAAAGAAGAACAUAUCUGAGAGUAACUGUUCAGGUAUUGACGGUAUUUAACCAGAAAGCCACGGCUAACUACGUGCCAGCAGCCGCGGUAAUACGUAGGUGGCAAGCGUUGUCCGGAUUUAUUGGGCGUAAAGCGAGCGCAGGCGGUUUUUUAAGUCUGAUGUGAAAGCCUUCGGCUCAACCGAAGAAGUGCAUCGGAAACUGGGAAACUUGAGUGCAGAAGAGGACAGUGGAACUCCAUGUGUAGCGGUGAAAUGCGUAGAUAUAUGGAAGAACACCAGUGGCGAAGGCGGCUGUCUGGUCUGUAACUGACGCUGAGGCUCGAAAGUAUGGGUAGCAAACAGGAUUAGAUACCCUGGUAGUCCAUACCGUAAACGAUGAAUGCUAAGUGUUGGAAGGGUUUCCGCCCUUCAGUGCUGCAGCUAACGCAUUAAGCAUUCCNCCUGGGGANUACGG
rnacentral:rRNA from 2 species